AUUUAAGAAUGGCUUAUGCUCAACUGUUGCCAGUAGGUUGUUUUUGAGGCUGGAGUGAGUGCUCUGAAGAAAUAAAACCUCAUCUGGUUCAGGGACAAACAGAAAUAAGAUCUCUAAAUUUUACAGUAUAGGGUCUCUUGAAUGAGAUCUAUAUUAAAGGCUGCAUCUAGAAAAUGAAGAGCUUUUAGCCAUGUCUACUAAGGAUGUUACAGCUUCUUAGAAGUCUCUACCAGUAUUUUUCUGGAGGAGCAAAAAAGAUAUCAGAUUCGUAACUGGCCUAGUCUCAGUGGAGGAAUACAGCAAAAUCCAGUUGCACAAAUGCAGUUUGGAACUAGUCAGCAUCAAAGAAAACUGGAUCAUAAAACCAUGAAUAAAAGGGACUGAAAAAGUUGUAAUAGCUAAAUCCACUAUUAGUCGACCCUAUGAGGAAGAAGCAACAACCUAUUUCAGGGCAGUAACACAUCACGGGUCUCUCUGGGCCAUGUACCCUGCUGGAACCCGCACCAGCCCGCACUGCCAAGCCUCGCAGGGACUCUGUCCACGCAGUGAGAAAACGCUUUGACAGACAACCAUCCCACGCUAUAAAGUUUCUUAAAUACACUGCAUUUUCUGCAGGAAGUUUGAAAGUUAUUCUAAGUAAAACCACAAAUAGUUCCACUUGUUAUUUAGAUAAAUGAACAUUUGCAAGGCGUAGGCAAACAGCAGAGGUGAUAAGAAGCCGGGGAGGUGACAGGGAGGCAGAAAACUCCUUCAAGUUUCCGAGCGGGCGGUCAAUAGCGCUGCGGCGGCCCGGCCGGGCUGUGGCGAUCUCCAUGACACCGCAGCUC